rnacentral:rRNA from 1 species
UACAUAGGGUGCAAGCGUUAAUCGGAAUUACUGGGCGUAAAGCGUGCGUAGACGGUUAUGUAAGUCAGAUGUGAAAGCCCCGGGCUCAACCUGGGAAUUGCAUUUGAGACUGCAUAGCUAGGGUGCGGAAGAGGGAAGCGGAAUUUCCGGUGUAGCGGUGAAAUGCGUAGAUAUCGGAAGGAACACCAGUGGCGAAAGCGGCUUCCUGGUCCAGCACCGACGUUCAGGCACGAAAGCGUGGGGAGCAAACAGG